ACGGGAAGAGCCCAAACCAACAAGCUUGCUUGUUGGGGUUGUAGGACACUCUAUACGGAGUUACAAAGGACGACAUUAGACGAAUCAUCUGGAAAGAUGAAUCAAAGAAGGUAAUAAUCCUGUAGUCGAAAAUGUUGUCUCUCUUGAGUGGAUCCUGAGUACGACGGAGCACGUGAAAUUCCGUCGGAAUCUGGGAGGACCAUCUCCUAAGGCUAAAUACUCUCUAGUGACCGAUAGUGAACCAGUACCGUGAGGGAAAGGUGAAAAGCACCCCGGAAGGGGAGUGAAAUAGAACCUGAAACCGUGUGCUUACAAGUAGUCAGAGCCCGUUAAUGGGUGAUGGCGUGCCUUUUGUAGAAUGAACCGGCGAGUUACGAUUUGAUGCAAGGUUAAGCAGUAAAUGUGGAGCCGUAGCGAAAGCGAGUCUGAAUAGGGCGUUUAGUAUUUGGUCGUAGACCCGAAACCAGGUGAUCUACCCUUGGUCAGGUUGAAGUUCAGGUAACACUGAAUGGAGGACCGAACCGACUUACGUUGAAAAGUGAGCGGAUGAACUGAGGGUAGCGGAGAAAUUCCAAUCGAACCUGGAGAUAGCUGGUUCUCUCCGAAAUAGCUUUAGGGCUAGCCUCAAGUGAUGAUUAUUGGAGGUAGAGCACUGUUUGGACGAGGGGCCCCUCUCGGGUUACCGAAUUCAGACAAACUCCGAAUGCCAAUUAAUUUAACUUGGGAGUCAGAACAUGGGUGAUAAGGUCCGUGUUCGAAAGGGAAACAGCCCAGACCACCAGCUAAGGUCCCAAAAUAUAUGUUAAGUGGAAAAGGAUGUGGCGUUGCCCAGACAACUAGGAUGUUGGCUUAGAAGCAGCCAUCAUUUAAAGAGUGCGUAAUAGCUCACUAGUCGAGUGACACUGCGCCGAAAAUGUACCGGGGCUAAACAUAUUACCGAAGCUGUGGAUUGUCCUUUGGACAAUGGUAGGAGAGCGUUCUAAGGGCGUUGAAGCAUGAUCGUAAGGACAUGUGGAGCGCUUAGAAGUGAGAAUGC
rnacentral:rRNA from 1 species